rnacentral:rRNA from 1 species
GUAAGGAAUAUUGGUCAAUGGACGAAAGUCUGAACCAGCCAUGCCGCGUGGAGGAUGAAGGUCCUCUGGAUUGUAAACUUCUUUUAUAUGGGACGAAAAAAGGCUUUUCUAAGUCGUCUGACGGUACCAUAUGAAUAAGCACCGGCUAACUCCGUGCCAGCAGCCGCGGUAAUACGGAGGGUGCAAGCGUUAUCCGGAUUCACUGGGUUUAAAGGGUGCGUAGGUGGAUUGCCAAGUCCGUGGUGAAAUCUUCGAGCUUAACUCGGAAACUGCCAUGGAUACUGGUGAUCUUGAAUAUCGUGGAGGUUAGCGGAAUAUGUCAUGUAGCGGUGAAAUGCUUAGAUAUGACAUAGAACACCAAUUGCGAAGGCAGCUGGCUACGCGAAUAUUGACACUCAGGCACGAAAGCGUGGGGAUCAAACAGGAUUAGAUACCCUAGUAGUCC